ensembl:snRNA U6 U6 spliceosomal RNA
GUGCUCGCUUUGGCAGCACAAAUACUAAAAUUGGAACGAUACGGAGAAGAUUAGCAUGGCCCCUGCACAAGGAUGACAUGCAAAUUUGUGAAAUGUUCCAUAUUUUU